CUACGUGCCAGCAGCCGCGGUAAUACGGAGGGUGCGAGCGUUAAUCGGAAUAACUGGGCGUAAAGGGCACGCAGGCGGUGACUUAAGUGAGGUGUGAAAGCCCCGGGCUUAACCUGGGAAUUGCAUUUCAUACUGGGUCGCUAGAGUACUUUAGGGAGGGGUAGAAUUCCACGUGUAGCGGUGAAAUGCGUAGAGAUGUGGAGGAAUACCGAAGGCGAAGGCAGCCCCUUGGGAAUGUACUGACGCUCAUGUGCGAAAGCGUGGGGAGCAAACAGGAUUAGAUACCCUGGUAGUCCACGCUGUAAACGAUGUCGAUUUGGGGGUUGAACUUUAAGUUUGGCGCCCGUAGCUAACGUGAUAAAUCGACCGCCUGGGGAGUACGGCCGCAAGGUUAAAACUCAAAUGAAUUGGCGGGGGCCCGCACAAGCGGUGGAGCAUGUGGUUUAAUUCGAUGCAACGCGAAGAACCUUACCUACUCUUGACAUCCAGAGAACAUUC
rnacentral:rRNA from 1 species